rnacentral:rRNA from 1 species
UACGGAGGGUGCGAGCGUUAAUCGGAAUUACUGGGCGUAAAGGGUGCGUAGGUGGUUUGAUAAGUUAUCUGUGAAAGCCCUGGGCUCAACCUGGGAAGGCCAGAUAAGACUGUUGAACUCGAGUAUGGGAGAGGGUAGUGGAAUUUCCGGUGUAGCGGUGAAAUGCGUAGAGAUCGGAAGGAACACCAGUGGCGAAGGCGGCUACCUGGCCUGAUACUGACACUGAAGCACGAAAGCGUGGGGAGCAAACAGG